GGAUCAUAUCUGUAACACUUUAUUAUAGAUAGAUAGAUAGAGAGAGAGAGAGAGAGAGAAAGAGGGACGGGACCAAAAUAUAAGUGCGUGUGUGUAUGUAAGUAUAUGAGCGGGUCUUUUCAAAUCAAGUCAAAAGUCUAUGAAGGAGAAAUUAAGAAGUGUAGGUUAAAACAAAAUGAGGGUUUCAGUGAGCGGGUCGUGAAAUGUCAUUGUAGCAAAUACACCAAUUCACGGGCUAAAAAAGUCUGUUAGGUUGAUCGUUCAAAUGCGGACCGUAUAUUAAAAAAAAGGGGGGAGGUGUUCCUGUCAAUAAACAAUAUAAAGAAAGCCUGGGAUCUAGGCUAAUUCGAUGUGAUCACACUACAGCAUAUAGAUCUAGAUCUGUGUCUUCCUGCUGACACCCUUCAGACACUCUCUAAUCUCAAAAUUUGUUGGCAUUACAUAGUAACGUAGAUCUAAAUCAAUUGGAAUUUUUAAAUAACCCGGUACGACGAAUGACCACAUAGAUUUAAAUACCCCGGUACGACGAAUGACCACAUAGAUUUAAAUACCCCGGUACGACGAAUGACCACAUAGAUUUAAAAUUUAAGCAUGAAGGAUAAAAAAAAGACACAAAAAAAAAGCUGAUAAUUGCUUUUUCAAUUAGCCAAUGUUUGAGUCAAUAAUAGCGGCCCAGCCUAGUCUACUGUCAUAGGCCACGUGUAGCUUACGUCCUUGGUAUUACGUUCCGGGCACUUGGUAUUUAUACAGUGUUUAUGUUUGGAUAUGGAUACAACAGGAGCAGAUACAGUUUGGUAAGUAACGAUGAAUGGAAUUUUUUUCCUCUGUGCAGUGUAUGCAUUGAGACCUAUAAUCUAAUAUAGGUGUGAGCUGGCGCUCCUAGAUCUAAUUUUUUAUCAAUUUUUAUCUGUAUUUUAAUUGGUAAAACUAUCUAGGCUAGUGCUGAGUGCAUGCAUGGUUCCCGCCAGCUCUUUAAUGUUAGAGUUAGUUUAGGUGAGUCAUGACCUGGCUCUAUAAAUAGAAAGGGUGCGGUCAGUUCUUUCUUUUUCCGGUGUUGACCGUUGGUCAGUGUGACCAUGUAGAAGUAAUAGUUAUUUAAAUGUAGUGUAAAUUUCAGCUGGGACCGCCUGCUAUAAUUUCUGUAGUUACGUCUACUGCUGUCGUUAAGUCUACUGCCAACUGUUUGCUGUCGUUACGUCUACUGCCUAACUGUGCAGUAGUACUGCCAUUAUUCACUGCCUAGCUACUGUCGUUACGUCUACUGCCUAACUGUGCGGUAGUACUGCCAUUAUUACUGCCUGUCUGCCAUUAUUCACUGCCUAGCUACUGUCGUUACGUCUACUGCCUACUGUGCGGUAGUACUUCCAUUAUUACUGCCUGUCUGCCAUUAUUCACUGCCUAGCUACUGUCGUUACGUCUACUCAGACUACUGUUUGCCUGGCUGCCUUUAUUAGUAUAUUUAUUUAUUAGUAUAUUACUGCCAUAGUUAAACUGUCUGCUGUACUGUUGUGUUUAGUGUUAGUAUUUUAGGUGUAAUCUAGUAAAGAUAGUUAGACAUUUGGGUUUCUUAUUAGUGUUGGUAGUGGUAUAGUCAGGUUGAUUAGUUGUUUAUUUCUAAGUUUAUUUGUUUCUGUAAAGUUUUUUUUUGUAUUCAUCUAUAUUUUUAUUGCUUUGUAAAUUUGUUGUAAAUAAAGUGUAUAUAAAUUUUGUUUUAUAAA